AACACCCUGAGAACACCCUGAGAACACCCUGAGAACACCCUGACACCACCCAGCAGCUCCCGCUGCAGCAGCACAGCCAGGAACAGAGAGACCCCCGGGGAUGUCAACAACAGCACGGCCAGGGGUAACCUGGGGAGGGGACAGGGGUGUCAGAGACCCCCUGAGACCACACUGAGAACACCCUGAGACCCCGAGGUGUGUCACCUGUCCCCAGGUGUCCCCAGGUGUCCCCAGGUGUGUCCCAGGUGUCACUCACCUGUCCCAGGUGUCCCCAGGUGUGUCCCAGGUGUGUCCCCAGGUGUCACUCACCUGUCCCAGGUGUGUCACUCACCUGUUCCCCCCGGGUCUGACGGCGGCCGCGGGGGGCACGAGGGUGACCCCCAGCAGGAAGCCCAGGUGUCCCCAGGUGUCCCAGGUGUCCCCAGGUGUCACUCACCUGUCCCAGGUGUGUCACUCACCUGUUCCCCCCAGGUCUCACAGCGGCCGCGGGGGGCACAAGGGUGACCCCCAGCAGGAAGCCCAGGUGUCCCAGGUGUCCCAGGUGUGUCACCUGUCCCAGGUGUCCCCAGGUGUCCCCAGGUGUCCCCAGGUGUCCCCAGGUGUCCCCAGGUGUCCCCAGGUGUGUCACUCACCUGNAGCGCACGUGACCGCUCCACUGACGGUUUUUAUUUAUGGCGCCACCGGGCGGAAAGGCGGGAAAAGCGCGGCGGGAGAGGCCACGCCCCCGACAGAGCCACGCCCACAAAACGGACACGUCAAUCAACAGAAGCCCCGCCCAUAAACGGACACGUCAAUCAAAAAAUCCCCUCCCACUGCUAAAGCCCCGCCCACAAAACGGACGUGUCAAUCAACAGAAGCCCCACCCAUAAAUGGGCACAUCAAUCAAGGAAAGCCCCGCCCAUUGUUAAAGCCACGCCCACAAACGGGCAUGUCAAUCAAAAACCUGUCAAAAAACGUCAAUCAGUCCGUGGGUCUGUCCUGGUGUGUCCGUCUGGGGCUGUCUGUGUGUCCAUCCAGGUGUGUCCAGGUGUGUCCGUGUGUCCAGGUGUGUCCGUGGCUCUGUCCAGGUCUGUCCGUGUGUCCGUCCGGGGCUGUCGCUGUCCUGGGGGGGUCUGUCCAUGGGUCUGGCCCUGCUGGACAUCUGUCCGUGUGUCCCGUGUCUGUGUGUCCGUGUGUCUGUGCCAAGCGUCCGUCUGUCCCGUGUGUCCGUCCCAUGUCCGUGUGUCUGUACCGCGUCCAUCUGUCCGUGUGUCUGCGCCGUGUGUCUGUGUGUCUAUCUGUCCAUGUGUCCAUGUGUCCAUCCCAUCUGUCCGUGUGUCCGUGUGUCUGUGUGUCCAUCUGUCCGUGUGUCCAUGUGUCCAUCCCAUCUGUCCGUGUGUCUGUUCCGACCGUCUGUCUGUCCAUCCCGUGUGUCCGUGUGUCCGCCCUGUGUCCAUCUGUCCACGUGUCUGUGCCCAUGUGUCCGUGUGUCCGUCCCGUGUCCGUGUGUCCGUCAUUUCCAGAAGAGCACGUUCCAGAGCAGCAGCCAGCAGGGGUGGGCGCCCAGGGUGAGGAGGGGGCUCAGGUGGGUUCAGGUGGGCUCAGGUGGG
ensembl:lncRNA